ACACAUGCAAGUCGAGGGGCAGCAUGAUUGAAGCUUGCUUCAAUUGAUGGCGACCGGCGCACGGGUGAGUAACGCGUAUCCAACCUUCCGCUUACUCGGGGAUAGCCUUUCGAAAGAAAGAUUAAUACCCGAUGGUAUGAUGAGAUUGCAUGAUAGCAUCAUUAAAGAUUUAUUGGUAAGCGAUGGGGAUGCGUUCCAUUAGGUAGUAGGCGGGGUAACGGCCCACCUAGCCGACGAUGGAUAGGGGUUCUGAGAGGAGGGUCCCCCACAUUGGAACUGAGACACGGUCCAAACUCCUACGGGAGGCAGCAGUGAGGAAUAUUGGUCAAUGGACGAGAGUCUGAACCAGCCAAGUAGCGUGAAGGAUGAAGGUCCUACGGAUUGUAAACUUCUUUUAUAAGGGAAUAAAACCUCCCACGUGUGGGAGCUUGUAUGUACCUUAUGAAUAAGCAUCGGCUAACUCCGUGCCAGCAGCCGCGGUAAUACGGAGGAUGCGAGCGUUAUCCGGAUUUAUUGGGUUUAAAGGGAGCGCAGACGGGUCGUUAAGUCAGCUGUGAAAGUUUGGGGCUCAACCUUAAAAUUGCAGUUGAUACUGGCGUCCUUGAGUGCGGUUGAGGUGUGCGGAAUUCGUGGUGUAGCGGUGAAAUGCUUAGAUAUCACGAAGAACUCCGAUUGCGAAGGCAGCACACUAAGCCGUAACUGACGUUCAUGCUCGAAAGUGUGGGUAUCAAACAGGAUUAGAUACCCUGGUAGUCCACACGGUAAACGAUGGAUACUCGCUGUUGGCGAUAUACGGUCAGCGGCUUA
rnacentral:rRNA from 1 species